GGUGGCGCGCGCCGCUACCUCGACCCGGCUUUUCCCGCCUCCCUGGGGUUUUAAAGGCCCAGAGAAGGCUCCCUCCUCUCAGGCCUGGAGUUUCCUGCUCUGUGAACUCUUCUCGCAGAACUCGCCCACGCAAGCUCUCGGCAGUCGCUGGUGGAAAAGGUGACAGAGGCCCAGUGAAAGGAAGUGAUUUUCCAAGGACACACCGGUUCUGAGAGUCCCUGCAGAGAUAAAGUGGUCAGGACGGCCUGAAGAAAUUUCUGUAGAUGGCCCUGGGGUAAGAAGGAGAAGUAACAAGUUUCCUGGCCUUCCCUGUGGAACUCCCAGCCUGGCUGGAGCUGAGUUGAUGGGGAUAAAGUCUAGAUGGAGUCAGCCGGAGUCCAGGCACCAUCGUCUCUCUGCUGCUCAGAGUGGCCUUUGGAGGAGACUUCCCAGAAAAGAUCCCAAAGAGUUCCAGUACCAGAGGUUGGUGAUGCAGAGAUGAAUUAGAUGUGGUCCCUGCCUCCACAAGGGUCUCAGCCCACUGCAGUAGACACAAGUACAGAGUCUGGCUGGCAGACAAGGUACAGAUGGAAAUCUUCCUGGACUCAGACCAAGAGGAGAAGAAAGGGUGGGAAAGGUUUGCCCCACGGCCUGCAGUAGCACUAGGUAAACCCAACUCAGGCUGAUGCUAGGAGAUUAGCUGGAGGACUCAUGCCUUUGACCCCCACUGGCCAGUCCAGCACUUCACCAAGUUCUACAACAUCCAUGGCCUCUUGGACUUUUCACAACAGUGCGCUAGCUGAGGAAAUGGAGGCUCAGAAACAUUAAUGUCUUACCCCAGGCCACAGAGCUAACUGGUGAAAGGGCCCAGACAGCAAUCCCAGAUCUCCUAACAACUUGUCCAGUGCUUGUCCGUGAUGUGUUUCUGACCUCGUGGAUGGCAUCACCCUUUCAUAGCUCUAACUGUCCCCCAUAGAAGGGUAAGAGGAGCAUCAGUGUUUAACUGGACAUGCCCAUGCCCUCAGCACUCUGCUACGAGCUCCAAGAGAUAAAAAGACAUAAAAGUUGUCCUUGUUCUCAACGCUCAUUCAUUCAUUUACUCACUCAUUCAUGCAUUCCAAGAGUUCACAAGGUGUCAGGCCCUGUGAGGAGGACCUAAUACUCCUCAAGGGGCUCACCAUGUAAUGAAGGGAACAGAAUCAGAAGUCAGCCUCUCCCAUUCAAGGGGAGAAGCUAAAAUAACGGUGUCUGGAGUGUGAUGAGCAUGCUCUUGACAGGACUUCACGUUGCCUGUGCGAUCCAGGGAGGCAUCCUGGAAAGGAGCUGAGUAUGGAAAGGUCCAUCGCUGCUGCGGGAGUGGGAUCUGACACCUGACACGACAGAGGCAGAGGCUCAGCACAGUCAGCAGCUCAGUGGACCUCCAGCCUCCCUAGAAGCUCCUCCUCUGGUGCCCUGAAGCCUUCUCCUGGGUCCUUAAGCAGAAGCAGAGUUCAGCGAGGGUUGACAGCAGUGGAUUUCUAGCUGGCUUUGAAGCCACUGCAUCCUGCCUCACCUGCCGACUAGCUGUGUGACCUUGGGCAAGGUGCUUAUUCACUCUGUUGCCUAGAUUUCCUUAUCUAUAAAGAUAGUAAUAGUACCUA